CCUCUUUCUCAUAAAAAACGUACUACUUCUCUCAAUUUCCCUCCACAGUAUUUAACUCGUCCAAAAAUACUUUUCUCAAUAUAAAUAAUCAAAAACCCUCUUUCUCAUAAAAAACGUACUACUUCUCUCAUAAACAAAAAUUGAUUGCAAUUACACUGUCAAAAAUCCAUUUCUCAUCCAGCAAAAGAGACGAAGUUACUAUGUGAUUUGCUAGACAAUCCAUUUCUCAUUGAGUAAAGGAGACGAAAGAUACAGUGGUGUGAUUUUCUAGAAAACCCAUUCCUCAAUCAAUCGAAAAUCCAUUAUUCCUCAAUGGAAAAUCCAGAUAAAUUGAAUUUUGGGGGGAUUUUGUAGCUCCAAUUCCCUGGGGAGUUGCUCUUUCCUGAAAAUGGAGUAAAGGAGAUGGAUCGACAUGGAUCAAAAACCCAUUUCUCAAGUCUCCAAUCAGUAUUAGUAUUAGUAUUCGCUUCUUCCAUUUGUAUUUCCUGUUAUUUUUGUUACCUUUUGCUAAGGUUGUCAUGUUAGUAUUUGUUAUGCCUCUUUGCGACUAUGUUCCUUUUCAUGUUUUUGUCAUAUGUUUUUUCGUUCUAUUCGGCUCGAAUGGGAUACCUGCGCCUGAUUUGGUUAUAUUUAGUGUUUAGGUAAAAGCUUAAAGAUAGAGCCUUUGGUGAGAUGGUAAUCUGGUUUCACUUCGAUGGUCUCUACUACUAUCUGAACUGUUGGUUCUGUUCUUGAAUUUUUUACUAGUCAUUUUUAAUUGUAAUGAAACAAAUACUAAACUGUUUGAUUGAUAGUAUUUCUCAUACAUUUACCUAUCAAAGAAAGAAUAUAGUAUUUACUAUGCAUCUGGUAUCACUACGUUUGGUCAUGUUUUUAUGUAUCAGGAUUGUUGUACUGCUUACUUUGUGAUCUUGACCUUCAGCUGUAUCUAAUAUAUGGUAAACCUUCUCCUCAACGCUAUUUAAGUUUAGUCUUUGUGCUGCUAGGAUUUUCUUUCUAAAUAGGACUAGCUUAGUCAGUUACAUAGUCUUGAUGGAUGCAAUCGAGUUAAUGCAUUACCAUGAUGUUUCCGCCUUCUCCACUUGCAACCUGAAGACAAAGCUACUUUAGCUUUUGGGCGUUAUUUUCAUAUAUUCCUUUGUGUCUUGCAUUUGUUCCAGUGGCUAUUUUGAUGUACUAAUGGAAGAAUACACCAUGUAAGCUUGUGAUCUCAUCCCACAUACGACGUAUUAUUCCUUUAACCUAUGUUGUUUGGACUUAUCAAUAACGUCGACGACUACAUGUUGGACCCUCCAAAAGGAGGUUAUCUUUGAAGGACUCGAUAUGGGUGCAGCAAUAUUUUUGGAGAUUCCAAGAAACUUAGCUAAGUUGUAUGUAUACUCACUGAAGUUGCAGUCUGCUUUCCUCCACAUCAUAUCAUGCAACAAUAAUUAUACUUCGAUACAAAGUUGACCAUAGAUCCAGAAGGCUUUUUAGAGAAGUUCAAAUGAUCCAAUGUCACCCACCUUUCUUUAUCAGGCACACUAUUUGUUUUAUAUUUCUAUUGUGUUUUGAUAUUACUUUGUUAUGAUAUAUUAUUCAUUCUUGGAGAGUUGCAUAGAAUUCCUCAAAUUUGGAUCUUCUUUUAAGGGAAGAAGUUGUGUAAUUGAGGUCUGAUCAAGCACAUUUACAUCAUUAGUCUUAGUAGGAGUAACUAGAUCAUGAUUUGUAUCAACAACAUUUCUAUCGGCCUGCUGAACAUUUUCUGCAUUCAAUGAUGGGCUUUCCUGGAUAGAUUCAUCUCUGAAUUUUGAACCCAAUCUACCCACAACAUCAUGAGAAGUCUGAUCAAUAUCUCCCCUAUUCUGAACCUGAGAAGAAAUUACCAUUUCAUGUGCUGCUUCCAAAUUCUGCUGAGAAUGCACAAUAUCUGAGCAACUUCAGCACCUGUGUAAUCACCCAACAUCUGACCCUUAAGUUCAGAACCUUGAGCAGCAGUAACCUUCAAGUUAUCAACCUUCUGAGUACAAUUCUGAACAUAACCUUCUGAAUUCUGCUAGUCCUAAGGAGCAGAAACAACACAUGAAGAGCUUUCUGCUGUUAGCAACUCUGCAGAAGCAUUGCAAAGCUUAUCAGUAAGGGAAAAUGAGACAAUGUGUUUCCACAUGAGGCUCUUUGUACAUUUUAGUUCUGAUAUGGUUGUUCAUGUUGCAGAGUGGGAUAACUAAUAAAGCAAUUGGAGAAACACGUAUUCUUAGCCUCUUGUUGAAAAAAAAUUCUUUCUUUUACAUGUUUAUUUUAUUUAUUCUUUGUUAAAAUGUUUAAACUAUUUCAGAAAUGAAUACGUCGACCAGCAGAAGCCAUUGCCUUUACAUAUUUACUGUCCACCGGGAUCUGACAAAGGAUAAAAGGUAUUGUUGUCACGAUGUUAUUACUGUUAACAUUUCUUUUUAAUUCCUUUGUUGUUAAGCUUUCUGCAGACUUCUGAGAUUUGAGAAGAAGGAGACUGGGGCGUGCUAGCUUAUCUUGAAGGCAAAGGCACCGAAAGCUUUCUCCCUGCAUACCUGAUGGGUUGUCCAAUUCGUGGUGUAAUUUUAGACCCAAUCAUUGCAAUGCUGAUGGGCAUUCAAGGAUAGUCAGGUGUACAUGGCAAAAGAAAUUAGAACAGGGGAAGUUGUUGCUUUGAAGAAGAUACGCAUGGACAACAAAAGAGAAGGGUUUCCAAUAACUGCAAUAAGUGAAAUUAAAAUUUUAAAGAAGCUGCACCAUGAAAAUGUGAUUGACCUGAAAGAGAUUGUAACAUCUCUAGGAAUGGGGAGAUCGAUCAAUGCUUGCUACAAUAGCGCUUGGUACAGCUCAGUUUCCAUGGGGCGUGGCAAGUGGUGCCAUUGCCGGACACUUGGUUGCUACAUCCCUUUCAAUACUAGGAGGCGCAUUUGUUGCCAAUUACAUUUCUGAGAAACUGGUUGGUUACUUGGGUGGGGUCCUAUUCUUAGUAUUUGCUGUUGCUACUUUUUUUGGAGGCUUUUAACCAAGUUUUAAAGAAGAGAAGACGAAAUUGAGAAGUUUCAAGCUUCCUAUUAAGACCAGAUAGAUACUCUGAGAAAACGCCAGUGGUAGAGCUCACGAAACUCCUGAUGUACCAUAGAUUAGUAACAUGUUCAUGUUUGUCAUAAAGUAAUGACAUCCUUGUACUACUACUAUAGGAUAAGUAGAGAAGAAACUAUAUUAGUAGUCCUUAGGCAGCACAAGAGAUGUGAAAAAUCCUAUGGCCUCCAUCAGAAAAUUUUAGUGAGAGUUAAUGCUUUUCCAUGAUUGUUGUACCAAGUUUUGUAUGAGUAUAUAAAAAAAUCAAGAUUUCUGUA